rnacentral:rRNA from 1 species
GGACCCGCACAAGCGGUGGAUGAUGUGGAUUAAUUCGAUGCAACGCGAAAAACCUUACCUACCCUUGACAUGUCAGGAAUUUUGCAGAGAUGCGAAAGUGCUCGAAAGAGAACCUGAACACAGGUGCUGCAUGGCUGUCGUCAGCUCGUGUCGUGAGAUGUUGGGUUAAGUCCCGCAACGAGCGCAACCCUUGUCAUUAGUUGCUACGCAAGGGCACUCUAAUGAGACUGCCGGUGACAAACCGGAGGAAGGUGGGGACGACGUCAAGUCCUCAUGGCCCUUAUGGGUAGGGCUUCACACGUCAUACAAUGGUUGGUACAGAGGGUUGCAAACCCGUGAGGGGAAGCUAAUCCCGAAAAACCAAUCGUAGUCCGGAUUGCAGUCUGCAACUCGACUGCAUGAAGUCGGAAUCGCUAGUAAUCGCGGAUC